CGCGGGGUGGAGCAGCACGGUAGCUCGUCGGGCUCAUAACCCGAAGGUCGCAGGUUCAAAUCCUGUCCCUGCAACCA
rnacentral:tRNA from 1 species